UUAACAGAUAUGUAUUGUCUAGUUAGUACUUAGCCUUGGUUUCUUGGAUCUUCAAACACUUCUCCCAUUGUGCUUCGUUGAAACAAUGACUUCCUCAAUUAUCAUGAUCAUUUCUCCUGCAAAACAGGUUUCCAUGGAGAUGAUUUCCUCUCAGACCAAGUGACGCUUCUUUCUGCCUCUCCCUUCCCAUGAAUUUCCAUCUGGCUUGAGCUGGAGUAGUUGAGAGCUGACCAAUAACAAGCAAUUUAAAGACAGAUUGAAUAGAAUUAAAUAUUCAAGAAUCAAAGAGUGGAUUACUCGUUGAGUUGGAAAACUUCAGGUUUCUAGCAGAAAUGUGGGACAUUUUUGUAUCUUUAAAAUUAUGAACACUUAGAAGAGAUGAUUGUAAUAAAAAAAUUUAGUAAAAGUUACUUGUGACUUGACGUCUUAGAAGCUGGAAAGCCAGUAGGGCUAGUAAUAUCUGUGAAAUGGCUACAAAAGUCUUGUAGAGUAGAUAUUUUUUUCAUAUGUAUAUUUUUAAAACUGUAAGUAGUAGUCCUGCUGAGGUUGAUUCUAGAUUAUGUCAUCAAAGUAAAAGUUAUUUUUUAAAAUUAAUCAUUCCAUUCAUUUAUAUCUCAAAUGAUAUCCCCCUUCCAGGUUACCCCUCCACAACCCCCAUCCCACAUCUGCCCUCUCACCCUUCCUGUUUGCUUUUAUGAAGGUGCUUCCCCACCUACACAAUCUCUCCUUCCCUACUGCUCCAACAUCCCCCUAUGCUGGGCCAUCAAACCUCCAUAGGAUCAAGGAACUCCCUGUCCUUGCUGUCAGACAAAGCCAUCCUCUGCUAUAUAUGUAUGUAGAACAAUGGAUCACUCCCCGUACACUCCUUGGUUGGUGGUCAAUUCCUGUGAGCAAAGGCUGGUCCGGCCAAAGGACAUGGUUCUUCCUUUGGGACUGAAAUUCCUUUCCACUCCUCCAGUCCUUCAGUCAGUUCCCCCACUGGGGGCCCCGAUUUCAGUCUGAUGGUUGGCUGGAAGUAUCCACAUCUGCUUUGGUCAGUUGGGAGAACCUCCCAAGGAGAAGCCAUACCAUGUUCCUGUCAGCAAGUGCUUCUUGGCAACAGCAACAGUAACAGUGUCAAAAAGUUAAUAAUUCUAAUAAAGUGUAUAAAAAUA